UUAGGUCUAGCACGGCAGUUUCUGUUCAGUUCUGGCGAGACCAUGUCCGGCUUACUGAGCUAACAUCUUGACUUGAGACUGCUUUCGGGCUUCGGACCUUUCAUGUAAGCGGGGCAAACAAACCUUUAAACAUUUGCGAGCACGUAUUUAAAAUUAAAUUAAAAAAAAUCUAUUGUAUAUGUUGACAAAACUAAAAGGAUAAAAAAAACAUUUAAGG
rnacentral:lncRNA from 1 species